GCCGAUGAUGGUUCCUUGAGCCAAACAGGUAAGGGUGAAAAGGCGAGGUAAGAGCUCACCAGCGACGAAGUGAUUUGUCGGCUUUGGUAAACCUUGCGGGUUGCAAGAUCGCAUAGUCUGGCAUUUGAGGAUGGCCCGUCCAAGUCAGUGGGUUGAUUGCAUAGAUAAAUGAUGAAGCGUCCCUUGGGAUGAACAGAAUCCGGCUUAUCAUUCUAAUUUCCUU
rnacentral:RNase_P_RNA from 1 species